CAGUAGCCACGGUAAUACGUAGGGGGCAAGCGUUAUCCGGAAUAACUGGGCGUAAAGGGUGCGCAGGUGGUUUAACAAGUUAGUGGUGAAAGGCAUAGGCUCAACCAAUGUAAGCCAUUAAAACUGUUUAACUUGAGUGCAGGAGAGGAAAGUGGAAUUCCUAGUGUAGCGGUGAAAUGCGUAGAGAUUAGGAGGAACACCAGUGGCGAAGGCGGCUUUUUGGCCUGUAACUGACACUGAGGCGCGAAAGCGUGGGGAGCAAACAGGAUUAGAGACCCCGGUAGUCCCUGUCUCUUAUACC
rnacentral:rRNA from 1 species